rnacentral:rRNA from 1 species
GAUGAACGCUGGCGGCGUGCUUAACACAUGCAAGUCGAACGAUGAAGCCCAGCCUGCUGGGCGGAUUAGUGGCGAACGGGUGAGUAACACGUGAGUAACCUGCCCUUGACUCUGGGAUAAGCCCGGGAAACUGGGUCUAAUACCGGAUAGGAGCGCCUGUCGCAUGACGGGUGCUGGAAAGAUUUUUCGGUCAUGGAUGGACUCGCGGCCUAUCAGCUUGUUGGUGAGGUAACGGCUCACCAAGGCGACGACGGGUAGCCGGCCUGAGAGGGUGACCGGCCACACUGGGACUGAGACACGGCCCAGACUCCUACGGGAGGCAGCAGUGGGGAAUAUUGCACAAUGGGCGGAAGCCUGAUGCAGCGACGCCGCGUGAGGGAUGACGGCCUUCGGGUUGUAAACCUCUUUCAGUAGGGAAGAAGCGAAAGUGACGUACCUGCAGAAGA